rnacentral:lncRNA from 1 species
AUCUGAAAAGCAGGCUGUGUGUGAGUCUUUGACCACUCUGCCGUCUGGGGAGAACUUCCUCGUCCCCUACAUCAGACCAGGAGGGCAGAAACCACAUGGCUCUGCAGGAUCUGCAUUCUCCAGCUACCUAACAUGAAGCCAAGCUCAGUGUGCACACACAGUUCCAAGGCCACACUGAAUGAGCAGUUAUUUCCUUCAGUCCAGAAUAGUGGAUCUCCUGUUCCAACGGGAACUUGGCUCUUGCAGCUCUCAGAUCCUUUGGGACAGCCAGAGACAUAAAACACUCCCUUCUGAGCCUCACUGCAGAAGAUUAGCACACGUCAUCCCAUGAAAGGAGAAUUGUAAUGCAUGUGGGAUGAAGAGAGCUAGCUGCUUUCCCAUUUACGUCCUUUCCCAACUGCUUUGGAGCACGGAGGACGGAGCUUCAGCCAGGCUUGACCUGGAACUCCCAGGACCUGGUGGUCACGCCAACUCCAGGGACACACAGUUUCUCCUGGCAUUCUUUCAGGUCAACGCUACUGUAGCGGGGAGUGAAAGCCUCAAGUCAGGUGGGAGCCGCAUGAGGUCACCCUGAUGGCACUGUCCGAAUAUAAGUCAAAAGCUUUUAAUAGCAAAGUGUUAGAGAUUAAGUAGCAUAUCCUUAAAGGUAAAAUGUCCUAGUGCUGUGGGAAACUAAGGUGGACAAGACGGGGCCUGCUUUAGCUACGAGUGGACGAGCAAAGGGAAACACACACACAGAAAACUCCAUAAACACUAGGAGCGAAGCCUACUGAAGAUAGCAGGCUGGACCACAGCACUUCAGCCACGCUGAAUCUGAUGAAGAAGCUG